AUGAAACCAAAUCUAUUCCUGGCGCAAUUCAUGUGCCUGGGCGAUUGGAAUCGUGUGAUGAAUGGAGGACCAUGGUUGUUUCGGAACGCAGUUGUUCCUAUGGAAGAGUACGAUGGAUUGGCGAAUGUUGAGGAGUAUAAGCUGGAUCGUAUUCCAGCGUGGGCGCGCAUUAUGGGAGUCCCUGAUGGGCUCAUGAAAAAGAAAGAGAUAGCGGAGAAGAUUGCAAGAAAGGUUGGAAUUCCCCAGCUGAAAGUUAUUGUCAAUGAAGGGCGGAUAAACCCCACUAAAUAUUUGAGAGCUCGGAUUCAUCUGAUGCUAGAUACACCCCUUGUGUGUUUUGUCCCUUUAACUCUGAAAGAUAGUAAGAGAUACCCCAUUGAGUAUGAGAAGCUUCCCGAGUUCUGCGAUUUCUGUGGCCGAAUGGGGCAUAUGGUAACUGAAUGCGGUGAUGGAAUCCAUAGUCCAGAGGAAUGUGAAUGGGGGGAUUGGAUCCUGGUUAAUUUUGAGGAUUCGUCUAAUGGGUCUGGAAGAGGUAGAGGAAAACCAGCACCAGGUGGCCGUCCCGGUCGUGGAGGAGGUUUUGGAAGAGGUAGACGGGCUCCAGGUGACCCUAAUCAAGAGGAACUAAAUGCUAUGGAGGUUGAAUCUGGGGAUAUUCACCAUGGAGCGCUUGUGCCUACUGCCAGGAAGAGGCUUAUAGGACAAGAUGGGAAUGUGGUAAACCAUGGCACAAGCACAGCCGGUGGGUCAGGUUUAACCCCCCCACCCCCCACCAGGGUUUGUCAGCGAGAAAGUUGA
rnacentral:rRNA from 1 species